UUAAAAUAAUUAUAUUUCUGUGGCUGUAUUUAUGUAUAGUGAAUAUAGAUUAACAAGGGAAUUGGGUUAAAUGCCCAAACGGUACCGCCGCUGUAAAUGCAAAUGUCCACUUUUUAUUGAUGAAAAUCAGUCAUUGGGUAAACCUGAGAAGGCAAAAAUUGGACGCGAAGAUUAAAGACUUAAUAAGCAUGAUUCAGAAGACCUACAGAACUAAUGUAGCUUUAU
rnacentral:ncRNA from 14 species